UCGGGAAUUUUGGGCAAUGGACGAAAGCCUGACCCAGCAACGCCGCGUGAAGGAUGAAGUAUUUCGGUAUGUAAACUUCGAAAGAAUGGGAAGAAUCAAUGACGGUACCAUUUAUAAGGUCCGGCUAACUACGUGCCAGCAGCCGCGGUAAUACGUAGGGACCAAGCGUUGUUCGGAUUUACUGGGCGUAAAGGGCGCGUAGGCGGCAUGACAAGUCACUUGUGAAAUCUCUGGGCUUAACCCAGAACGGCCAAGUGAUACUGUCGCGCUAGAGUGCAGAAGGGGCAAUCGGAAUUCUUGGUGUAGCGGUGAAAUGCGUAGAUAUCAAGAGGAACACCUGAGGCGAAGGCGGGUUGCUGGGCUGAUACUGACGCUGAAGCGCGAAAGCUAGGGUAGCAAACGGGGAUUAG
rnacentral:rRNA from 1 species